GUCAACAUUUUUAAGAAUAUCGGUGAGGCGGCGGGGGACAUUAUUAUCAAACACUUCACUUAAUUCACUUGCAAGGAUGAGUCUUUCAAACGCAAACACUUGGCAUUUAAAUAUAAGGUGUUCAACAUCUGCAACGCUACCAUUCUGGCAGUGAGGACAUGUACCAUCGGCUAUAAUCGAAAAUCUGGCUAAGUGCGCUGGUGCACAGUUGUGACCAAACCUCAAUCUAUUGAUGGUGGUAAUAAAGCUACGACUUCCAAUCUUUAUCUUCUCAUACCAAGGCUUUCCAGGGCUUCAAAUACAGCAUAUGCUUCAGCCGUAAAUAUGGAACAUAAAUCAUGCAACCUAAAGCUUUGAACGAAUUUAGUCUGAGGAUCAUACACUGCACUUCGAACAUGGGACUCUGCUUUACUACCAUCUGUGUAUAAUUUGUAAUAAUUGGGAAUUUGUGACAAGAAAUGUAGAAAAUCAGUAUUAUUAUUGAUAGAGUUUGUGCAUACUGUAAUGUUUAAAAGUUUACUAUUAAAGCUAUCGUCAUAACAUGGCCAAAUUUCAUUUUUAUAUAUAUUACUAAACUUAGCUUCCACCUGUAAGAGUAAUGCUGUUAACUUAGGAAUUCUGGGAUGACCCUUUAUUCUUCUUAUUAUACUUUGAUUAUUUUUAGCAUAUAUCUUAAUUAAAUAUCUGUAAGCUAACAACACCCAUCUGACAGGUAAAGGCAUUGUUUUUGUCUCUACUUCCAUUGCUCUUAUUGGGGUUGAACACAUUGCCCCUGAUAUUAUUCGCAUUGCCUUAUUUUGAAUUAUUUGUAACUUAUGUGUGUGAUCAGUAUUCAUAUGUACAAGAAAACUAUAAUCAAAGUGACUUCUGACUAGGGUUUUGUAUAGUAAGGACAGUACUUUAGGGUCGGCACCCCAAGAUAUACCGGCAAGACAUCUCAUAAUAUUUAAACCUUUAACAGAAUUACAAAUUAUGUGCUUAGCAUGUAGCUCAAAAUUUAAAUGAUUAUCUAUUACUACGCCUAGAAACUUAUGAGAAGGAACUUCUCUAAUAAUCUCAUUAUUAUAUACAAUAUUUACAUUUGUUGUGUCUUUGCUCAAUAUUAAUAACUUGCUUUUGUCAGGAUUUAUCUUUAAGUGUAAAUAAUUA